AAGAGAAACGGCUGGGAAUACGACUGAAACCCACUGAGGACGAGCCCCCGCGGCGCAAAUGUCCACAUCGCCAACAUUGAACCUGGACAUCGAAAGUAGAUUGUUCGACAUCUGUUCACCACUGCACUUCAACAAACGACUUUUUCCAUGGAAGAGACAACACCACAGAGGGAGAUAUUAUAUGAUAUCCGCUGUGAUACCUAUUUGUGAUACAGGUGGUUAGUUAUUACGACUUCGGCGACGACUAUGACGAUUCAAGCAUCCACUACAGACAGAUUUGACAACAUCACAUUCCGACACUGACAGACGUGCUCCCGGCCCAAGAGGCAUGUACUGGAAUAAAUGGAAGCCCUUACAUCAAAUGCUUGAGUGUAAAGACCUCGGACAUUCAUGUUUCAUCUGCCUCUGCCACAGCAUCAUCAACAGUGAGCUCACGGCAUGCCGUUCGAAUCUAUGCUCAACAGGAACAUUUCUCGAUACAGCCAUGGUGGCCACAUUAUAAUCUCUGACAUUCGUCCCAGUGGUCUGAUACCCCUAUUACCGUCCGAAUUUUGCCCGAGAUUAUACCCCCGAGGUCUGACCGACGUUGUGGUGCAAAACUGAGUUAACCCUACUUUAUGUGCAUAUUGGGAUUCUUCCACAAACGCCAAGACGUCGGACAUGGCCUGAUACACCAAACGUUUCCCCUCAUAUAUAUAAGGAGGGGAAGUGCGGCGGCUUCUGUAUGGUGGGGCCAAAUGGUGGCCUACCUUACGAUACACAAUGACGAAACAAGAAAAUUAUGGGUCCGAUGAAUGAGACAGACGAUGAUAAUAUUGCACUACCCGGGAUAUUUACGGCUAGUGGGAUGUGAGUGAUGACUAACAAGCAGAUACAAGUGGCUCGUUUUGCCAUAUUUUGACCUCACACCACGUCUCGUCUCUCUUUGGGUGAAACAUUGACACAUUUAGUCGUUGGUUGUUCACAAUCAAAAACAUCGUGCAGCCACAGGCCGGAGUAAUGCCGGUUGAUCGAUAGCCUGCCAAGCUAACACACACCCCGGAACAGGAAAGUAUAGCAUGAAAUGCGGAGCUCAGCAGAGGGUCCAGUGGGGCUUACCCAAGCGAUAUGACGACUAUACGGUGGAAAGAAAUUAUGGUGUGCGAUCCAGGGGGAGGAGUUUUCGUGAGAGUGCUUGGUGAGGAGGGUCUGCUAUCUUACUCCACCCCUUAUACUCAAUCCGGCCAUACUAAGCGAAGAUGGGUAGAUGUAGAGACAGACCCAAAAUGACAUUCGGUGACACACGUCAUAAGAUCUUUAAAUUACCUGUCAAAAGCAGUAAUAAUAGAGACCUAUUAUGAUACUGUCUAGAUGACGACAGGGGUUCAGGCACCCUAAAUUUGUGUGUUCAUUACUUGGGAUUGCUGUUAACGUUGAGAAUACUGUGGAUCGAAGGCUGUUGAGCUUGCAAUAUGCACAAGGUUCCCCACCUGACAGCCUAGCAAGGUACUCACUGUGCGCUCAACAAGUAUCGAGUGCAUCUACCCACAUAAGCAUGUCGACCUUUACGCGUCUGUACAUUGUGUCUGUAGCUGUGCUGUCACAAAUGCCUUCAUUAUGCAUCUUCCCGUACAGCCAUGCACGAAUGCAGCACAAGCUCUCCACAAGUCGGUUAAACUAGCACUCAGAUUGAGUUCAGAUAAGGAAUUUUCGGUUCAACUUGCCAGCACCAUUUUAAGGAGCAAGCAAACCGGCCGGCAUGGCCAAAUGAAACCAAUACAGUAAGCUAGGCGAAUCAAGAGAGUGUGUGAGUUCACACUUCCACACAGGAGAUUAGCAGCUGCAGACACUGAUCGAUCCCCGUCAGACGAUGCUUGUCAGAUGUUAGCGUAACACGAGCCACACAAUGUGGAUCCGUUGCCCCGACCUUUGCAUGUGAGUUAGUGUGGCAUUUUUCACAUCUCGUUUUAGCGUGUUUUUUUCUUU
rnacentral:misc_RNA from 1 species